rnacentral:lncRNA from 1 species
CCAGGAUGUACCUUGGAUCAUGCCUGAGUUGUGAGCACUGCAUCAGGACGUGUUUUGGAUCACCCUUGAGGUGUGAGCACUGCACCAGGAAUUGUCUUGGAUCAUUCCUGGGUGUGAGCACUGCACCAGGAGGUGUUUCAGGUCAUCUAUAAGGUGUGAGCACCACACCAGGAGGUUUCUUGUCUUAUGCUUGAGUGGGAGCACUGCACCAGAAGGUAUUUUGAAUCAUGCCUGAGUUGUGAGCACUGCAUCAGGAGGUGUUUUGGAUCAUCCCUGAGGCAUGAGCACUGGACCAGGAGGUCUGCUGGAUUAUCCCUGAGUUGCAAGCACUGCACCAAGAUGUGUCUUGGAUCAUGCCUGAGUGUGAGCACUGCAGCAGGAGGUAUUUUGAAUCAUGCCUGAGUUGUGAGCAUUGCAUCAGGAAGUGUUUUGGAUCUUCACUGAGGUGUGAGCACUGGACCAGGAGGUCUCAUGGAUCAUCCCUGAGUUGCGAGCAUUGCACCAGGAAGUGUCUUGGAGCAUCCCUGAGGUGGGAGCACUGCACCAGAAAGUGUCUUGCAUGUUGCAUCAUGCCUAAGGUAGGAGCACUACACCAGCAAGUGUCUUGGAUCUUUCCUGAGGUGGGAACACUUUACCAGGAGGUAUCUUGAAUCACCCCUAAGGAAAGAGCACCACACCAAAGGGGUCUUGGAUCAUCCCUGGGGAGGGAGCACUACUUCAGGAGGUGCCUUGGGUCAUCCUUGAGGUGUGAGCACUGCACAAAGAAGCAUCUUGUAUGAUGCCUGAGUGUGAGCACUGCACCAGGGGUUGUCUUGGAUCAUUCCUGAAGGUUGAGCACUGUACCAGCAGGUAUCUUGGAUCAUCUCAGAGGUGUGAGCAUUGCACCAGGAGGUGUCUUGGAUCAUUCCUGAGGUAGGAUCACUGCAUCCGGAAGUGCCUUGAAUCAUCCCUGAGGUGUGAGCACUGUAACAGAAGGUGUCUUGGAUUCUCCAUGAGGUGUGAGUCCUGCACCAGCAGGCAUCUUGAAUCAUCAGAAGAAAGAGCACUGCACCAAGAGGUGUCUUGGAUCAUCCCUGAGAUGUGAACAUUGCCCCUGCAAGUCUUAUCAUGCCUGAGGUGUGACCCAUGCACCAGGAGAUCUCUUGUAUUGAUGCUAAGGUGGGAUCACUGCACCAUGAGGUGUCUUGGAUCAAACCCGUGGUGCAGGCACUACACAAGGAGGUCUCUUGAAUCAUCCCUGAGGUGGCAGCACUACAUCAGAGGGUGUCUUGGAUCAUCCCUCAGGUGUGAACACUGCACAAGGAAAUGCCUUAAAUCAUGCCUGAGGUAUCAGCACUGCACCAGGAGGUGUCUUGCAUUAUUCCUAAGGUCAGAGCACUGCAUCGCAAUGUCUUGGAUUGUGCCUGAUCAUGUGUGACCAGCAAGUGUCUUAACUCAUCCCUGAGGAGGGAGUACUAUAACAGGGGUAUCUUGGAUUAUGCCUGAAGUGUGAGCAUGCACCAGGAGGUGUCUUGAAUCAUCCCUGAGGUGGAAGCACUGCACCAAGAGGUGUCUUGGAUCAUCCCUGUGGGUUGAGCACUACACCAGGAGGUGCUUUGGAUCAUCCCUGACGUGUGUGCACUGCACCAGGAAGUGUCUUGUAUUAUGACUGAGUGUGAACACUACACCAAGUGGUUUUUGGGAUCAUUCCUAGGUGUGACCACCACACCAGGAGGUAUCACGGAUCAUGCCAGAGUUGUAAGCACUGCAUCAGGAGAUGUUUUGGAUUAUCCCUGAGGUGUGAGCUUUGGACCAGGAGGUGUCUUGGAUCAUGCCUGAGUGUGAGCACUGCACCACAUGGUUUUUUUGGAUCAUCUGUAGGUGUGAGCACUGCACCAGGAAGUAUCUUGGAUCAUGUCUGAGUUGUGAUCACUGCGCCAGGAGGUGCCUUAAAUCAUGUCUGAGUUGUGAGCACUGCACGAAGAGGUGUUUUGGAGCAUCCUUGAGGUGUGAGCACUGCACCAGGAGGUGUUUUGGAACAUCCCUGAGGUGUGAACACUGCACCAGGAAAUGUCUGGGAUCAUCCCUGAGUGUGAGCACUGCACCAGGAGGUGUUUGGGGUCAUCCAUAAGGUGUGAGCACCACACCAGGAGGCUUGUUGUAUUAUGGCUGAGUGUGAGCACUGCACCAGGAGGUAUAUUCAAUCAUGACUAAGUUGUGAGCACUGGACCAGGAAGUGUUUUGGAUCAUCCCUGAGGUGUGAGCACUGGACCAGGAGGUCACCUGGAUCAUCCCUGAGUUGUGAGCCUGCAUCAGGUGGUUUUUUGGAUCAUACCUAGGUGUGAGCACUGCACCAGGAAGUAUCGCUGAUCAUGUCUGAGUUGUGAUCACUCACCAGGAGGUGUCUUAAAUAAUAUCUGAGUUGUGAUCACUGCACCAGAUGGUGUCUUGGAUCAUCGCUGAGGUGUGACCACUGCAGCAGGAAGUGUCUUGGAUCAUCGCUGUGGUGUGAGAACUGCACAAUGAGGUGUUUUCCAUCAUCCCUGAGGUGGGAGCACUGCACCGGGAAAUGUCUUGGAUCACCUCUGGGGAGAGAGUACAACUCCAGGAGGUGUCUUGGGUCAUCUUUGAGGUGUGAGCACACACCAAGAGGUGUCUUGGAUCAUUCCUGCAGGUUGAGCACUGUAUCAGCAGGUAUCUUGGAUCAUCUCAGAGGUGUGAGCACUGCACCAGGAGGUGUCUUGGAUCAUCCCUGAAAGUUGAGCACUGUACAAGCAGGUAUCUUGGAUCAUCUCAGAGGUGUGAGCAUUGCACCAGGAGGUGUCUUGGAUCAUCCCUGAGGUAGGAUCACUGCACUAGGAAGUGUCUUGAAUCAUCCCUGAGGUGUGAGCACAGUAACAGGAGGUGUCUUGGAUCCUCCCUGAGAUGUGAGCACUGCAGCAGGAGGUGUCUUCAAUCAUCAGAGGAAAGAGCACUACACCAAGAUAUGUCUUGGAUCACGUCUGAGGUGUGAUCGCUGUAACAAGAGGUGCCUUGAAUCAUCCCUGAGGUGUGAGCACUGUACCAAGACGUGUCUUGGAUCAUCCAGGAGGUGUGAGCACCUCACCAGGAUCAUCAUACCUGACGUGUGAACAUUUCACCCAGAAGUGGCUUAUGUCAUGCCUGAGGUGUGAUUCAUGCACCAGGAGGUGUUUUGUAUCAUCCCUGAGGUGCAGGCACUGUACCAGUAGGUCUCUUGGAUUAUGCCUAAGGUUUGAGCACUGCACCAGGAAGUGUCUUUUAUCAUCCCUGAAGUGUGAGCACUGCACAAGGAGGUGUCUUAAGUAAUCUCUGAGGUGGGAGCACUGCACAGGGAGGUGUCUUCAUUCAUCCCCCAGAAGGGACUACUGCACCAAGAGGUUUUUUGGAUAAUCCUGAGGAGGGAGCACUGCACCAGGAGGUAUCUUGGAUGAUAACUGAGUUUUAACCACUGCAGCAAGAAGUGCCUUAAAUAAUCUCUGAGGUGGAAACACUACACCAGGAGGUGUCUUGGAUCAUCCCUGAGGUGCAGACACUGCACCAGGAGGUCUGUAGGAUUAUCCCUGAGGUUUGAGCACUGCACCAGGAAGUGUCUUUUAUCAUCCCUGAGUUGGGAGCACUGCACCAGGAGGUGUAUUGGAUCAUCACUUAGGUGGAGCAUUGCACCUGCAAGUGCCUUGGAUCAUGCCUGACGUGUGAGCACUGCACCAGCAGGUGUCUUGGCUCAUCCCUGAGCAGGGAGUACUGCACGAGGAGGUGUCUUGUGUCACACCUGAGGUGUGAGCACUGUACCAGGAGGUGUCUAGGAUCAUCCCUGAAUUGUGAGAAGUGCACCAGGAGGUGUCAUGGAGCAUCCCUGAGGUGGGAGCACUGCACCAGGAAGUGGCUUGCAUGUUGCAUCAUCCCUGAGGUAGGAGCACUACACCAGCAGGUGUCUUGGAUCUUUCCAGAGGUAGGAGCACUUCACCAGGAGGUAUCUUGAAUCAACCCUAAGGUAAGAGCACUGCACCAAAGGGGUCUUGGAUCAUCCCUGGAGUGGGGGGAACACUACUCCAGGAGGUGUCUUGGGUCAUCCUUGAGGUGUGAGCACUGCACCAAAAGGUGUCUUGUAUUAUGCCUGAUUGUAUUAUGCCUGAGUGUGAGCAUUGCACUUGGGGGUGUCUUGGAUCAUUCCUGAAGUAGGAUCACUGUCUCAGGGAGUGUCUUGAAUCAUUCCUGAGGUGUAAGGAUUGUUACAGGAGAUGUCUUGAAUCAUCAGAGGAAAGACCACUACACCAAGUGGUGUCUUGGAUCAUCCCUGAGGUGUGAACUUUGCACCCGGAAGUGUCUUAUCAUGCCUGAGGUGUGACCCAUGUACCAGGAGGUCUCUUGUAUCAUCCCUGAGAUGGGAUCACACACCAUGAGGUGUCUUGGAUCAAAUCUGAGGUGCAGACGCUGCACAAGGAGGUCUCUUGAAUCAUCCCUGAGGUGGCAGCACUGCACCAGAAGGUGUAUUGGAUCAUCCCUCAGGUGUGAACACUGCACCAGGAAGUGUCUAAAAUCAUGCCUGAGGUGUCAGCACUGCACCAGGAGGUGUUUUUGAUCAUCCCUAAGGUGCAGGCACUGCACCAGGAGGUCUCUUGGAUUAUGCCUGAGGUUUGAGCACUGCAUCAGGAAGUGUCUUUUAUCAUCCCUGAUGUGUAAGCAUUGCACCAGGAGGUGUCUUGCGUCAUUCCUGAGGUGUGUACACUGCACCAGGAGUUGUUCUGCAUUAUUCCUGAGGUCGGAGCACUGCAUCACAAGUGUCUUGGAUCGUGCCUGAUGGUGCCUGACCAGCAAGUGUCUUAACUCAUCCCUGAGGAGGGAGUACUGUAACAGGUGUCUUGGAUCAUCCCUUGGAGUGCAGCACUACACCACCAGGUGCUUUGAAUCAUCUCUGAGGUGUGAGCAGUGCACCAGGAAGUGUCUUGUAUUAUGACUGAGUGUGAAUACUUCACCAGGUAGUUUUUUGGAUAAUUCCUAGGUGUGACCGCUGCACCAGGAGGUAUCUCGGAUCAUGCCAGAGUUGUGAGCACUGCAUCAGGAGAUGUUUUGGAUCAUCCCUGAGGUGUGACCACUGGACCAGGAGGUGUCUUGGAUCAUGCCUGAGUGUGAGCACUGUACCAGGUGGGUUUUUUGUAUCACCCCUAGGUGUGAGUACUGCAUCAGGAAGUACCUUUGAUCAUGUAUGAGUUGUGAUCACUGCACCAGGACAUGUCUUAAAUCAUAUCUGAGUUGUGAUCACUGCACCAAGAGGUGUUUUGGAGCAUCCCUGAGGUGUAAGCACUGCACCAAGAGGUGUCUUGGAUCAUGCCUGAGUUGUGACCACUCCACCAGGAUAUGUUUUGGAACAUACCUGAGGUGUGAGCACUGCACCAGGAGGUGUCUUAGAUUAUGCCUGAGUGUGAGCACCUCACCAGGAUGUACCUUGGAUCAUGCCUGAGUUUUGUGGGCACUGCACCAGGAUGUGUUUUGGAUAAUCCCUGAGGUGUGAGCACUGCACCAGGAAGUGUUUUGUAUUAUGCCUGAGUGUGAACACUGCACCAGGUGGUUUUUUGGAUGAUUCCUAGGUGUGACCACUGCACCAUCAUCAUGCCAGAGUUGUGAGCACUGCAUCAGGAGAUGUUUUGGAUCAUCUCUGAGGUGGGAUCACUGUACCAGGGGUGUCUUGAAUCAUCCCUGAGGGGUGAACACUGUGACAGGAGGUGUCUUGAAUCAUCCCUGAGGUAAGAGCACUGCACCAGGAGGUCUUUGGAUCAUCAUACCUGAGGUGUGAACAUUUCACCCAGAAGUGUCAUAUCAUGUCUGAGGUGUGACCCAUGCACUAGGAGGUGUUUUGUAUCAUGCCUGAGUUGUGACCACUGUACCAGAGGGUGUUUUGGAACAUCCCUGAGGUGUGAGCACUGCACCAGGUGGUGUCUUGGAUCAUCUCUGUAGUGUGAGAAUUACACAAAGAGGUGUUUUUAAUCAUCCCUGGGGUGAGAUCACUACACCAGGAAUUGUGUUGGAUCAUGCCUGAGUGUGAGCACUGCACCAGGAGGUAUUUUGAAUCAUGCCUGAGUUGUGAGCACUGCAUCAUGAGGUGUUUUGGAUCAUCCCUGAGGUGCAAGCACUGCACCAGGGGGUGUCUUGGAUCAUCCCUGAUGUGUGAGCACUGCACCAGGAGAUGUCUUGGAUCAUCCCUGAGGUGUAAGCACUGCACAAAGGACUGUCUUGUAUUAUUCCUGAGUGCAAACGCUGCACCAGGUGUCUUUUUGGCUCAUUCCUAGGUGUGACCACUGCACCAGGAGGUAUCUCAAGUCAUGCCAGAGAUGUGAGCACUGCAUUAGAAGAUGUUUUGGAUCAUCCCUAAGGUGUGAGCACUGGACCAGGAGGUCUCUUGGAUCAUCCCUGAGUUGAGAGCACUGUUCCAAGAGGUGUCUUGGAUCAUGCCUGAGUGUGAGCACUGCACCACGUGGUUUUUUUGGAUCAUCCCUAGGUGUGAGCACUGCACCAGGAGGUAUCUUGGAUCAUGUCUGAGUUGUGAUCACUGCACCAGGAGGUGUCUUAAAUCAUAUCUGAGUUGUGAGCACUGCACCAAGAGGUGUUUUGGAGCAUCCCUGAGGUGUGAGCACUGCAUGAGGUGGUGUCUUGGAUCAUCCCUGUAGUGUGAAAACUGCACAAGGAGGUAUUUUCCAUCAUCCCUAAGGUGGGAGCACUACACCAAGAAGUGUGUUGGAUAAUGCUUGAGAUGUGAGCACUGCACCAGGAGGUGUCUUAGAUCAUGCCUGAGUGUGAGCACCUCACCAGGAUGUACCUUGCAUGAUGCCUGAGUUGUGUGGGCACUGCAUCAGGAUGUGUUUUGGAUCACCCUUGAGGUGUGAGCACUGUACCAGGAAUUGUCUUGGAUCAUCCCUGAGUGUGAGCACUACACCAGGAGGUGUUUGGGGUCAUCCAUAAGGUCUCAGCACCGCACCAGGUUUCUUGUAUUAUGCCUGAGUGUGAGCACUGCACCAGGAGAUAUUUUGAAUCAUGUCUGAGUUGUGAGCACUGCAUCAGGAGGUAUUUUGGAUCAUCCCUGAGGUGUGAGCAUUGCACCAGGAGGUGUCUUGGAUCAUCCCUGAGGUGUGAACAUUGCACCCAGAAGUGUCUUAUGUCAUGCCUGCAGUGUGAGCACUGCACCAGGAUAUCUAGGAUCAUCCCUGAAUUGUGAGCACUAAACCAGGAGGUGUCUUGAUUCAUCCCUGAGGUGUGAGCACCUCACCAGGAGGUAUCUUGGAUCAUCCCUGAGAUGUGAACACCUCACCAGGAAGUGUCUUGGAUCAUGUCUGAGUUGUGAGCACUGCACCAGGACGUGUCUUAAAUCAUCUCUGAGGUUUGAGCACUACACCAGGAGGUGUCUUAAAUCAUGCUGAAAAGUGACCACUGCACCAGGAGGCAUCUUGGAUCAUGUCUCAGUUGCAACAGGAGGUGUCUUGGAUCAUCCCUGUGGUAUAAGCACUGCACCAGAAGGUGUCUUGGAUCAACCCUGGGAUGGAGGCAGUGCACCAGAAGGUGUCUUGGAUCAUCCCUGAUGUGGGAGCACUGCAUCAGGAGAUCUCUUGGAUCAUCGCUGAGGUGUGAGCACUGCACCAGGAGGUAUCUGGAAUGAUUUUUGAGGAGAGUGUAGCGCACCAGGAGGUAUCUUGGAUCUACCCUGAGGUGUGAGCACUGCAACAGGAAGUGUCUUGGAUCAUCCCUGAGGUGUGAGCACUGCAACAGGAUGUGUCCUCAAUCAUCCAUGAAGGGGGAUCACUGCACCAGGAGGUGUCUUGUAUCAUUGCUGAGGUGGAAGCACUGCACAAGGAAGUGUCUUAGAUCAACCUGACUUGUGAGCACUGCACCAGAAGGUGUCUUGGAUCAUUGCUAAGAUGCAAGCAAUGCACCAGCAGAUGUCUCAGAUCGUCCUUUAGGUGGGAGCGCUACACGAGGGGUGUCUUGGAUCAUCCCUGAGGAGGGAGCACUACACCAGGAGGUGUCUUGGAUCAUUUCUGAGGUGCAGGCACUGCAUCAUGAGGUGUCUUGGAUCGUCGCUGAAGUGUAAGCACUGCACCAGGAGGUGUUGUGAAUCAUCGCUGAGGUGUGAGCACUGCACCAGUAGGUGUCUUGGAUCAUCCUUGGGGUGUGAACAUUGCAUCAGGAGAUGUCUCAGAUCAUCCCUGAGGUGCAGGCACUGUACCAGGAGGUAUCUUGAAUCAUUUCUGAGGUGCAGGUGCUGCACCAGGUGUCUUGAAUCAGCCCUGAGGUGUGAGCACUACACCAGGAGGUGUCUUGAUUCAUCCCUGAGGUGUGAGCACUGCACCAGGUGUCUUGAUUCAUCUCUGAGGUGUGAGCACUGCACCAGGAGCUGUCUUGAAUAACUUCUGAGGUGUGACCAUUGUACCAGGAGGUGUCCUGUAUCAUCCCUGUGGAGGGAGCACUGCACCAGAAGGUGUAUUGGAUCAUCCCUGAAGUGUGAACACUACAUCAAAAGGCAUCACGAAUCAUCCCUAAGGCUUGAGCACUGCACCAGGAGGUGUCUUUGAUCAUGCCUGAGAUGUAUGCACUGCACUAGGAGGUGUUUUGGAUCAUCCCUAGGUGGGAGCACUACCCCAAGAGGAGUCUUGGAUCAUCUUUGAGGUGGGAGUACCACACCACGAGGUGUCUUGGAUCAUCCCUGAGGUGGAAGCACUGCACCAGGAGUUGUCUUGGAUCAUUCCUGAGGUGUGAGUACUGCACCAGGAGGUAUCUUGUAUCAUCCCCGAGGUCAGAGCACUACACCAGGAGAUGUUUGGAUCAAACCUGACAUGUAGGCACCGCACCAGAAGGUCUCUUGGAUGAUGCCUGAAUUGUCAGCACUGCACCAGGAAGUGUAUUUUAUCAUCCUUGAGGUCAGAACACUGCACCAGCAAGUGUCUUGGAUUCUGCCUAAGGUGUGAGCACUGCACAAGCAGUUGUCUUGGCUCAUCCCUAAGAAGGGAGUACUGUGCCAGGGGGUGUCUUGGAUUAUGCCUGAGUUGUGAGCACUGUAUCAGGAGGUGUCUUGGAUCAGCCCUGAAUUGUGAGCACUGCACAAGGAGGUGUCUUGGAUCAUCCCUGAGGUGGGAGCACUGCACCAGGAGGUGUCUUCAAUCAUCCCUGAGGUGUGAGCACUGCACCAGGAGAUGUCUUGGAUCAUCCCUGAGGUAGGAUCACUACACCAGGAGGUUUCUUGGAUCAUUUCUGAAGUGUGAGCACUGCACCACAAGGUGUCUUGAAUCAUCCCUGAGGUAGGACCACUACACUAGGAGAUGUCUUGGGUCAUCCCUGAGGUGUGAGCACUGUACCAGGAGGUGUCUUGGAUCAUCCCUGAGGUGCAGUGAUAUGGUUUGGUCAUGUCCCCACCCAAAUCUCAUCUUGAAUUGUAGCUCCCAUAAUCCCCACAUGUCAUAGAAGGGACCCUGUGGGAGGUAACUGAAUCAUGGAGGGAGUUACCUCCAUGCUGUUUUCAUGACAGUGAGUGAGUUUUCAGAUCUGAUGGUUUUAUAAGGAGCUUUUCCCCCAUUUACUUGGCACUUCUCCUUCCUGCCAUCCUGUAAAGAAGGAUGUGUUUACUUCCUUCCACUUUGAUUGUAAGUUGUUUGAGGCCUCCUCAGCCCCACAGAACUAUGAGUCAUUUAAACCUUCUUUCUUUAUAAAUUACCCAGUCUUGGGCAGUUCUUUAUAGCAGUGUGAGAUCAGACUAAUAAACACCCCCAUGAUUUAAUUACCUCCCACCAGGUCCCUCCCAUGACACAUGGGGAUUAUGAGAACUACAAUUCAAGAUGAGAUUUGGGUGGGACACAGCCAAAACAUGUUAUUCCAUUCAUGGUCCCUUUAAAAUAUGUCCUCACAUUUCAAAACACAAUUAUGUACUUCCAACAGUCCCCCAAAGUCUUAAUUCAUUCCAUCAUUAUCCCCAAAGUCCAAAUCUAAAGUCUCAUCUGAGACAAGGCAAAUUCCUUCGCCUAUGAGCCUGUAAAAUCAAAAGUGAGUUAAUUACUUCCAAGAUACAAUGGAGAUACAGGCAUUGGACAAAUACACCCAUUCCAAAUGAGAGAAAUUGGCCAAAACAAAGAGGCUCCAGGCCCCACCCAAGUCCAAAAUCCAACAGGGCAGUAACCAAACCUUAAAGUUCCAGAAUAAUCUCCUUCAACUCCAUGUCUCACAUCAGGUCACGCUGAUGCAAGAGGUGGGCUCCCAUGGCCUUGGACUGCUUCACCCCUGUGGCUUUGCUUUCACAAGAUGGCAUUGAGUGUCUGAGGCAUUUCCAGGUGCACAGUGCAAGCUGUCAGCGGAUCUACCAUUCUGGGGUCUGAAGGACGGUGGCCCUCCUCUCACAGUUCAACCGGGCAGCACCCCCAUGGGGACUCCCUGUGGGGGCUCCAAUCCCACAUCUCCCUUCUUCAAUGCCCUAGCAGAGGUUCUCCAUGAGGGCUUUGCCCCUACAGCAGACUUCUGCCUGUACAUCCAGGUAUUUCCAUACAUCCUCUGAAAUCUAAGCUGAGGUUCCCAAACCUCAAUUCUUGACUCCUGUACACCCACAGGUCCAAGACCACGUGUAAGCCACCAAGGCUUGGGGCUUGCACCCUCUGAAGCAACAGCCUGAGCUCUAUGUUGGCCCCUUGAGCCACAGCUGGAACUCACUAUCACCAAAUCCCUAUACUACACAAAGCAGCAAGGCCCUAGGCCUAGCCCGUGAAACCCUUUUUUCCUCCUAGGCCUCUGGGCCUGUGAUGGGAGGGACUGCUGUGAAGAACUCUGACAUGCCCUGGAGACAGUUUCCCCAUUGUCUUGGUGAUUAACAUUUGGCUUUUCGUUACUGAUGCAAAUUUAUCUAGCUGGCUUGAAUUUCUUCUCCAAAAAUGGGUUUUUCUUUUCUAUCGCAUCAUCAGGCUGCAAAUUUUCCUAAGUUUUAUGUUCUGGUUCCCUUUUAAACAUAAGUUUUAAUUCCAAACCAUAUAUUUGUGAGUACAUAAAACUGAAUGCUUUUAACAGCACCCAAGUCACCUCUUGAAUGCUUUGCUGCUCAGAAAUUUCUUCUGCCAGAUACCCUAAAUCAUCUCUCUCAAGUUCAAAAUUCCACAGAUCUUUAGGGCAAGGGCAAAAUACUGCCAGUCUCUUUGCUAAAAUGUAGCAAGAGUCACCUUUAUUCCAGUUCCCAAAAAGUUCUUCAUCUCCAUCUGAGACCACCUCAGCCAGGACUUCAUUGUCCACAUCACUAUCAGCAUUUUGGUCAAAACCAUUAAACAAGUCUCUAGGAAGUUCCAACUUUCCUGGAAGACAUCUUCCUGUCUUCUUCUGAGCCCUCCAAACUGUUCCAACCUCUGCCUGUUACCCAGUUCCAAAGUCACUUCCACGUUUUUUAGUAUCUUUAUAGCAGCGCCCCACUACCCAGUAUCAAUUUACUGUUUUAUUCCAUUCUCAUGCUGCUAUGAAGAACUGCCUGAGACUGGGUAAUUUAUAAAGGAAAGAGGUUUAAAUUACUCACAGUUCUGCAGGGCUGGGGACGCCUCAGGAAACUUACAAUCAUGGCAGAAAGCAAAGGGGAAGCGGGCACGUCUUCAUGUGUCUGGAGAAGGAGGAAGAGAGCAAAGAGGGAGGUGCCACACACUUUCAAACAACCAGGUCUCCUGAGAACUCAUUCACCAUCACAAGAAUGCAAGGGGGAAAUCUGCCCCCAUGAUCCAAUCACCUCCAACCAGCCCACUUCCCCAACACUGGGAAUUACAAUUCGACAUGAGAUUUGGUUGGGGACACAGAGCCAAACUAUAUCAGUGCUUAACCUCAUUUGAGUUGUCACACGCAACCAGGAGGCUUGAAUAACCCACUGCUUCCAGACUAGAUGGCUUUCUGUGUGACCCCAAGAGAGACUCCCAGCCUCUGCUGAUUCCUAUGUAAAGUAUGGGUUGGAACUGGAUGGUAUCGUAGGUUCCUUUAGCUCCGUAUGAUUCUCAUGUAAAAUUCCACCCAGCAGUCAGGCAAGAGGUGCACUGGGGAGAGGAGGUGGAACCCCCAGGUUGUUGAUAAAAUCCUGAAAUCCCUUGGCUCUGUGCUUCAAACAGCCACCUUCCCAACAUCUAUGACUCUUUGAACUGCUCAUAAAGAGCGCUGAUUAAUGUGACACUUCACAUGCCCACCAUGAAAUUAGGAAGGCCCUUAGAUCUCCUUCAAACCCGCGGUGCCGGUGCCUUCGCCCCAUCAAUCAGAGAUGAAACUGUGAUUGUGCUGCAAGGAGACGAGGCCAUCCUGGAGUUCUGCCAUGAAAGAAUCGCUGGGACUCAAAGGAGGGGAAAACAAGGGAAGGAGAGAGGGGGAAAGGGAAAGAGAAGCUGCUUCCAGAAGGAAUAAAUUUGUGUGUGUACUUUGAUCCUGCUAUGAUUUUUAUUUGUUUUAGCCAC